rnacentral:tRNA from 1 species
GCCCUGAUAGUAUAAAUAUUACUCUGGUCUUGUAAACCAUAAAUAAGGAACUAAUCCUUUCAAGGCA